rnacentral:rRNA from 1 species
AGACCUGUCCUUAGUACGAGAGGACCGGGAUGGACGUACCUCUGGUGUACCAGUUGUCCUGCCAAGGGCAUGGCUGGGUAGCUAUGUACGGAAUGGAUAAGCGCUGAAAGCAUCUAAGCGCGAAGCCAACUUCAAGAUAAGAUUUCCCACCGCAAGGGUAAGACUCCAGAAAGACUAUCUGGUUGAUAGGUCGAAGGUGUAAGUGCAGCAAUGUAUUUAGCUUAUCGAUACUAAUAGGUCGAGGACUUGACCAAU